rnacentral:misc_RNA from 1 species
GGAUGGAUCAUUAGGGUGUUUAAACCUAUGUUUCUUUCUUACGUUCGAUUCUACUUUAUCACUGUAGACGUUCUGAGUAAACGCAGCAACAUGAAAAAGCUCCUUGUAACGGUGGAGGGCUCGGCUCAAAAUGCGAUGAAGGACGCAGCGAGGUGCGAUAAGCAGUUUGAUACGCGCGAUUUGUGAGCGACUAGCUUUCUGAAUGCCAAGGCGCCCCGACCUACGUGGCCGGGCGUGCUUGAGUCAGGGCUUUAUUGAAUCUUGCAUUGGAGGGAUAGAACUCUUAUGCUUGUUGUGCUUGUUCAAUAAGAUCGAGCAUUUUGCCUCAGUACUGAAAGUUGGAUAUUCUUACUCAAAGUACGAUCAUCUUUUUGAUUAAGCCUGACUUCAAGCUCGGAGACUCGUCGAGCUUAAGCAUAUCCGUAGGCGAGCGAACGACAACCAAAUGGGAAAUUGCUAGUAGUGGCGAACGAACGCAAUCUGGUUCGGAGGGUGAAUCCUGUGCAAACAGGAAUUGUUCCCUUGGCCUGUGACUGGAGUCUCUCGAGGGUUAAGUGCGCCUGGAAAGGCGUCUCUGGUAAGGGUGAUAGGCCCGUACACCUUCGAGUAGAUUCAUACAGCCGCAGACUCAACAGUCGUGUUCUUUGGGAGUAGAGCACAAAGUAGAUGGUGGACUUCACCUAAGGCAGCAUACGCUUUGAGUCCGAUAGUAGACAAGUAGUGUAAACGAACGCCGACAAAUGGCUCGGGAGGGUCACUUAUUGAACUGAAACCGUUGCAAGGGAAGCGCCUCUGCGGCAAUUUCUCUGGCAUACGUUAGUUACAACUGCGGUUGUUGCUAACAGCUUGGAGAAAACCAAGCCUGGCUGAAGCUAGUGGUGAAGUUUGUCUUCGGCGACGUCACAUGAUAGCUUUCAGUCAGUAGCUGGUACCGAGAUAGAGGUGUCCCGUCUUGAAACACGGACCAAGGAGUUAAACCAGGGCGCGAGCAAUGUUGUGGCAAGCAACAAAGCGUACCUAACGGGUGUUGGGCUUCACUGGCCCGGCCGGUCUUUAUGACUGGGCUCGAGCGUUCUGUUUUAGACCCGAAAGGUGGUGACCUAUGUCCGGAUAAGGUAAAGUCAGGGGAAACCCUGAUGGAGGCCUUAAGCUGUACUGACGUGCAAAUCGUUUGCGCUAUUCGGAUAUAGGGGCGAAAGACCAAUCGAACCGCCUAGUAGCUGGUUCCUUC